rnacentral:rRNA from 1 species
UACGGAGGAUCCAAGCGUUAUCCGGAUUUAUUGGGUUUAAAGGGUGCGUAGGCGGCCUAUUAAGUCAGGGGUGAAAGACGGUGGCUCAACCAUCGCAGUGCCUUUGAUACUGAUGGGCUUGAAUGAACUUGAGGUAGGCGGAAUGUGACAGUAGCGGUGAAAUGCAUAGAUAUGUCACAGAACACCAAUUGCGAAGGCAGCUUACUAAGGUUUAAUUGACGCUGAGGCACGAAAAGCGUGGGGGAUCAAACAGGGAGUUAGAAA